UUUCUAAUCACUUAAUCAGAGGAGAGUGAGGCGAGCUGGCCGGGCUGCUCUUCGUCGGGGACGUCGCCGUUUACUUGCCCGCGCCAACGGCCAACUACUCCCGGGAUUCGCCGUGUGCCCAUGUACAGCCGCCUUCCAGAAGCCAUUCGAGGGGCGGCCCGCAACGCUCGCGUGGAGGUCCCGACCUAGGAGGUGGACGAGGUUGUGUGGCUCGCGGCUGAGCUGCUCUUAGCCUGGGUCGCCAUCGUCUCCGUGCGCCACGCUGACAGGAAGCUGGUCACCGAGUCCCCGGGCAUUCGCCGCACACCCAGGUACUCCGACGCCUCCCCAGUAGCUGUCCGAGCGGCGGACCGCGACGCUCGCGCGAGUGUCCAAUGGCUCCGGUGUCCGAUGAGCGUGGCUGCCGGCCAUGGCCGUGGUCGUGUGCCACUGCCUCUCCCGCUGCCGCUGGAAUGACGGAGGCUCGCGGCCAAGAUCCGGGGAGAAGGAGCUCCGUGACGGCGAGCUCCUCUAGGAGCAGGGCGACCACGUACUCCAAGAGCACGACGACGACAAGCUUGAGGCUCUUCGGGCGACCUUAACAAGGAAGAGGGUGGCAGCUGGAUGAGGGUUAAAAUCACGCCGGAGUCACCGUGUUGUCCUCUGACGACACAUCCGGCGUCCCAUGAUUUUCAGGACGACGGCGGCGCGACAGCUGGACCUCCCUGCCAGCCUGCCCGACCAAACUCCACAAGCUGCAGCUCACAGAUCCAAUCCAAGAAACGUCCUGCCAGCUAGUGCCAUGGUUCCCCCACAGAAGGAGCAG
rnacentral:rRNA from 1 species